UCUUGGUUUGUUCUCUUCUUAUUUUACUAAAAAGACAAUGAGGAUAUCAAAGAAAGAGUUGAGGAGCCACUCAUCGUCUGAGUCCACCUGAAGGCCUCUCCAUACUCGAGAAUGAUUUCAUGCGACGUGGACCAGGAUCAGUCAUGACGGAUACUUUGCACAUGACCUGACCUGUAUACUGCUGCCUUAAAUGCACUUGAAACCUCAUCGGCUGGACUGGAUCCAGCUGCGAACUCAGAUUAAAUUAAAUGAUCUACUAUCGAUGGGUUAAAUCCUGUUGAAAGAAAGAAAGCAAAACAAGAGGUGGAAUUCUGCGUGUUUGUUAUGGAUCUGUUGUUUUCAGGUUUUGAGUUGGUCUUCAUCAUCAUUGCUUUCACUAUUAUGUGCUUAUUUGGCCUGGCUGCUGUCUACACAUACAAUACAAAUCGUCAAGAUGACUACAUUCAAACAGAACAGAAGAAAAUACAACAAAAGAGUAACUCAAUGAAGAAACAGCGAGGCAUUACCAAAACCAAUCAGGAGCUACCAUGAACACACAAACAAACAGAUUUCAUAUAAAUACAGAAUCCUUCUGUUGGUUCUCAUUGAAUUAAAAAGCCUGGUGCACCAAAUGCAGCUAACCACUGUGUGAAGAUCUCUAACACUGAAAAUGGACUCGCUGUCGAGCCCAUCUUUAGGUUGACCCUCAAAACCAGCUGUCUCUGAUUGGCUUGAAUGCAUGACCCUAUUUAUUAACCAGUGAAGAAAGGCAAAGAGGAUUUAUUGAAAUCGAAACCCCUCCCCUUUCCCCACCUAAAUCUACUUAUCAUUUGUAAUAUAAUGAUUUAAAUCCUGUCUGGAGCAGCUUUUAUUUUUUCACACAGCUUAUGCUUUGGUGGAUAAACUGCUUCUAAAGUUUCUGGGUGGUGGUGGCCAUUGGCAAUAAAAAUAGGAAAAUAUAUUGUUGAAUGUAUAUUGUGCAAAUAUUUUAUACAUAUAGUAUAUUUAUAGUGAUGUUGUACUAUUUAUAUAAUGCAUUUUGUUUGUAUAUUAUUUAUUUUUCCACAAGUAUUUUUGGCUUUUAUUUAUAUAUUACAAAAUAUGAACAUUGUCCAGAAUAUAUAUAAAUAUAUAUGAAUACAUUUUCUGUUAUAAUCUGUCCCUUUUGCUGUGCCCUAACACAAGGCAUUUAACACCACUGUGCUGCAGGAUAGCUACCUUAUAGUCUUCUGUAAUUUACAUUGCACAAAAAGAUCUGCUAACUAAGUGCUAACUUUGGAUUAUGGCAUUAAGAUACACUUAUCUGGAUCUGGAGAAGAUUUUACAUUGUUUCUAAUUAUGUAUGGAAAGUGAGGUUACAGUGUCCUUUUUCAAGACCAUGUGCGCUGAAUGUUAAACAGCUACUUAAUUUCAAGUUUAACAGUUAGAAAGGGGAAAAAGUUCACAAAAUAUCACUGUUCACUUACAUGAUUCACAUAUUUAAACUAUACUGUGUUAAAUUCCAUGCAUCUUCAUUGAUAAAAUCGACAUUAUACAGAAAAGUAAGACUUCCAUUGUCAUUUCUGCUGUAAACAUGGUAACAGAGCAUGGGGCGCCCUCUACUGGUGAUUAGCAAAACCAGCAAAUCGCUAAUCAUGCACGCUAAUUCUCAAUAACUUUCUCAAAAAUUCAUUCUCUCCUUACUUUCCUCAAUAGUGAUAUUCCUUAAUGCAGAGAAAUACAAGCAUGUACAUAAUAUUUAGUUACCAAUCUGAGACAAAACUAAA